rnacentral:rRNA from 1 species
CGGGAGGCAGCAGUAGGGAAUCUUCGGCAAUGGGGGGAUCCCUGACCGAGCAACGCCGCGUGAGUGAAGAAGGUUUUCGGAUCGUAAAGCUCUGUUGUUAAGGAAGAACGAGUGUGAGAAUGGAAAGGUCAUACUGUGACGGUACUUAGCCAGAAAGGGACGGCUAACUACGUGCCAGCAGCCGCGGAAAUACAUAGCUCCCGAGCGUUGUCCGGCUUUAUUGGGCGUAAAGCGAGCGCACGAGGUUAGAAAAGUCUGAAGUGACAGGCAGUGACUCAGCCAUUGUAGGCUUUGGAAACUGUUGAACGUGAGUGCAGAAGGACAGAGUGGAAUUCCAUGUGUAGCGGUGAAAU